AUUGCGUAGCUUAUUAUUUGCUUUUACUUUUCUCUGAUUAAGGCGGAAAAAUAAAUUAAAUUGCCUCGGAGUUAAUUCAAGCUCGCGUCUCUUAGUUUGGCUUCUACGACGAACUGUAUCAUACACGUGCUCAUGCGAAUUUAUUGGGAAAUUCAAUUUUCAUUUCCUGAUGUGUCGAGAAGAGCAUAACACUUGCACAUUUCUUCGGUAAUUCAACGACAUACGUGAUGGAAUUCAAACCAAACAAGUUUGCUGACUGAAUGAAAGUUUGGAUGCCGUUGGAAACUCUUGACUGACGUAUUUAAGCAAGAAGUUUUGCUAUACUCGCAAGGAAAAGAAACAAGAGGAAGAGAAAGAACACCGGUAGUCUCAAAAAUAUUGACAGCCAUUCGUUUCCUGAUGGUGAGCAGCAGGAUGUUUCAAAUCAGGAAGAAAGACCGAGUGUGCGAUGCAGUAAGUUUAGAGAGAGAG